UCCUUAUGAAAAAAUUGUUUUAUAAAUAAUAUGCCCAGUACAUUAGAAUGAUAUCAUGUGUAUUUAACUUCUUACACUUACAGGGGUGUAAGAAAUUCCCUUAGGACAGUGUACACAGAGUAGAGACCCAUGCUUAGCAACCGCACUUUAGUCUGAAUUCACUUCCAAACACUGUUAACAAAUGAGCAUUUACAGCAAGCAAGAGGGCUGCCUGGCCACUGACCAACAGUUCUGCUGCCAUUCUGGGCACUUUGUUCAAGCACCAUACAGUGGACAUUUGCCUGGAUUUUACAGAAAUGAGUGACAUAAAAAUGAAAGUGCUCGCAGUAAAUGAUUACUAUUGGUCCCAAGCUUAGUACACAGAGAAAGAUGUAAAACACCAGGAAGGCCAAGAGCAGAUUUCCAGCCACACACAGACUAUCUCUGUGUCAGGCAGACACAGCUGCCAUGCGCUCAGCUGGGAUGGAGUUCAGUGUGAGGAAUGUGCUGGAAAUACACAAACCAAUGACUGUGCGUCCCAGAUGAGGCAUCAACAGAUUCCAAAUUCAUCAACUGUUCUUGGAACAGAGCCUCCCUUUAGACAGGCUUACUUUUGGCUUGAGCACUUUUGUCCAAGGAUGCUCUAAGACAGGGCUGCAAGACAGGAGGAAGUUCUGUUUCACUGCAUGCAGAGUUUGCCCAGAGGCACCAGAGUUCACAGUCCAGAGCCCACAGUUCAACGGAGUCAUCAACAACACCCUUCUUCAUUCCAUUUUUUCCCCUCCUGUUUCAUUGAUCAGGAACAAAGAACAUGUCUAUUUUUCAAGGCUAAGAAGCAGAAGUGUAUCUGGGUGUUCCUGGGCAGUAAAAUGAGACUAAAUGCUCAGAGGCAGCAGAGAUCUGGAGAAGUUACCCAAGCUGCUUACUUCCAGCUGAAUUCUGCUGAAGCACAGACAUAUUCGAGAAGGUCUCCAGACCUCUGGAUCCUUAGGGUACAAAGGUAGGAAACAACCAAACCACUGCUAACACUCUGAGAAAUACAAACACACAUAGAGACCAUGGGAGCUGGCUGAAGAUCCAUCACUUUAUUUUUACAAAGAGAUGGCCAAAGGGGAUGAAGGGGCAGAGAUACAGAGGCAUGCCAGCAACACAGCAGAAACAAUCCAGUUGGCCACCCAAAAACUAAAUGAAACACAGUGCCAACUGGCUUUCACCCCCCCUCACCCCCAUCCCGCCUGCCACAGGUCGCAUUUCACUGUGUAACAGAAAUGAAAAUCCUUGAUCCUGGAGAUAAAAGUAGAUAGCACCUGCUGCUUCACCUUGGCAGGGGAUCUGCGAUGGCUCUGAGACAUCCACUGAGUUGUCACUCUUCCAUCAUUGCACGCGGGCCCGGCUGGUUUCCCUCGUUGGUGUCGUGAUUUCCAGGCCUUGUCAUGGAGGAGACGGCUAAGCGGCAGUUCAUUUGGGGAACAAUGAAGCACUCUGAAACACUUAGUCCUCCAAAUCUUCCAAGCAGAAGAACAAGGCUCUGGACUCCCCAGAUCUGAGACACAGAUGAUGCACAGCUGAUCCAUGGAAGGUCGACAGUGAAUCAAGGCCCACUUCCCAGGCAAGGAGGAAAUACCACACACGAAACCCCAAGUCCUUUUCCUUGCAGCUCAUGAGGUUCCAAAGUACCUUCCACAAACACCUAGAGGGAUCCAGCACAAGUGACGGCUUCGGCUACUGGUCUCCAAGAAACAGACAAAGGACCCAGGGCGGCCUGUCUCACUGAGGAAGUUGGAAUUAAUGAUCCUUUUGUACCAAGCGCAGGGCGUCCUCACUCUUAACCUUUGACUGUCAUAACUUUCCAGGGUCUGUAUGGAACAUACCUUCACAAGGCACCAGCAGGGCGCAGAGCACAGCUCAGAAUUUGAGAUGGCCUGGCUGCUCAGAGUCCGAGGAGGGGCUCUGACUUCCACCAUGGAGAAAGAACACAGUGGAGACCAAGGUGAGGGAGAGCCCCAGGACGGGAAACGGGAGAUUCAUGGACACCAGGCCUCUUGUUCUGCAUAGGCAAUGGACAGGGCUGGGCGGCGCCAGCAGAGCUUUGGAGAAUUAAACUGGUUUACUUCUCGACCUGGGUGGGGCACACAAGGGGCUGUUACGAGAGAUGGUACAGAAGGAAUAUUUUUGGUCCAACGCUGCAGGAGAAGGGGGCAAAGUGGAGGCCAGCGGGGCUGAGAGCCCUGAGGGCAGGCUAGCAGACAGUUUCUACAGCAGACUGGACCCUUGGUUAGUUCAACACAACUGAGCUUCAGACCUGGGGGCCUCAGUAAGGGGGAAGAACACCUUCCCUAGGGUCCUUGUCCUCAAAUAGGCUUCCUCCUCAGGUCCCCCAGUCGAUCCAGGUUUCCCUCAGCCAGGACUUGCCCUGGAUAAUGGACGCCCCUCGGCCCUCUCUGUCAAUAGCAGGGGAAUCACUGAGACCGCAGCUGAGUCCUUCAGCCAGUGCUGCCACGGAACUGACACUGGUGACGGUGUGGCCCAGACCGUAGUUAUCCAGGGGAGCGAGGAGCUCCUUCACCGGCCACAGGAGCAUCAGCCUCCAAGACAGGUCUCCGGCCAGCGUCCCCCAGAGAUUUCCCACUCGGGAGUUGUGUUUAGAGUGGAGAACCAGGAACCGCACCACUGGCUCACACGCACUAAACGAGCAGUGCGACUUCACACACAGACUGCUUGCGCCUAAGCGGCAGAGACAGGCUCGGGGUGGGUGAGUUCGCUGCGCGCUCACACCCUCUCCCUCUUCUGCCCGGGUCGCCCUGGAGCACCGCGGCCGGGAGGCCAGCCCAAGCCCCUCGCCCACCCACCGCACCCCACCCC
ensembl:lncRNA